UACGUAGGGACCAAGCGUUGUUCGGAUUUACUGGGCGUAAAGGGCGCGUAGGCGGCGCGGUAAGUCACUUGUGAAAUCUCUGAGCUUAACUCAGAACGGCCAAGUGAUACUGCAGUGCUAGAGUGUGGAAGGGGCAAUCGGAAUUCCGGGUGUAGCGGUGAAAUGCGUAGAUAUCCGGAGGAACACCGGUGGCGAAGGCGGCUUCCUGGACCGACACUGACGCUGAGGCGCGAAAGCUAGGGGAGCAAACGGG
rnacentral:rRNA from 1 species